rnacentral:rRNA from 1 species
AACGGAUCCGGCUUCCGUAGGUGAGCCUGCGGAAGGAUCAUUC